GAUGAACGCUAGCGGCAGGCCUAACACAUGCAAGUCGAGGGGUAACAGGGAGUGCUUGCACUCUGCUGACGACCGGCGCACGGGGGCGUAACGCUUAUACAAUCUGCCUUACACUGGGGGAUAGCUUCCGGAAACGGAAAUUAAUACCCCAUAACAAUGAGAGAUCGCAUGAUUUUUCAUUUAAAGCUCCGGCGGUUUAAGAUGGUCAUGCGUCCCAUUAGUUUGUUGGUGAGGUAACGGCUCACCAAGACUACGAUGGGUAGGGGGCCUGAGAGGGUGAUCCCCCACACUGGUACUGAGACACGGACCAGACUCCUACGGGAGGCAGCAGUGAGGAAUAUUGGUCAAUGGGCGAAAGCCUGAACCAGCCAUCCCGCGUGAAGGAUGAAUGCCCUAUGGGUUGUAAACUUCUUUUAUAUAGGAAUAAACCUUUCUACGUGUAGUGGACUGACGGUACCAUACGAAUAAGGAUCGGCUAACUCCGUGCCAGCAGCCGCGGUAAUACGGAGGAUCCAAGCGUUAUCCGGAUUUAUUGGGUUUAAAGGGUGCGCAGGCGGACUAAUAAUUCAGUGGUGAAAUCUCUCGGCUCAACCGAGAAACUGCCAUUGAUACUGUUAGUCUUGAGUACAGUUGUAGUGGGCGGAAUAUAGCAUGUAGCGGUGAAAUGCUUAGAUAUGCUAUAGAACACCGAUUGCGAAGGCAGCUCACUAAACCAAUACUGACGCUAAGGAACGAAAGCGUGGGGAGCGAACAGGAUUAGAUACCCUGGUAGUCCACGCCGUAAACGAUGAUCACUCGACAUUGGCGAUAAACUGUCAGUGUCCAAGCGAAAGUGUUAAGUGAUCCACCUGGGGAGUACGGUCGCAAGAUUGAAACUCAAAGGAAUUGACGGGGGCCCGCACAAGCGGUGGAGCAUGUGGUUUAAUUCGAUGAUACGCGAGGAACCUUACCAGGGCUUAAAUGCAAGUUGACAGAUUGGGAAACCAGUCCUUCUUCGGACAAUUUGCAAGGUGCUGCAUGGCUGUCGUCAGCUCGUGCCGUGAGGUGUCGGGUUAAGUCCCAUAACGAGCGCAACCCCUAUCUUUAGUUGCCAGCGAUUCGGUCGGGGACUCUAAAGAAACUGCCAGCGCAAGCUGUGAGGAAGGUGGGGAUGACGUCAAAUCAUCACGGCCCUUACGUCCUGGGCUACACACGUGCUACAAUGGUAGAGACAGAGGGCAGCCACCACGCGAGUGGGAGCGAAUCCUUAAACUCUAUCUCAGUUCGGAUUGGAGUCUGCAACUCGACUCCAUGAAGCUGGAAUCGCUAGUAAUCGCGCAUCAGCCAUGGCGCGGUGAAUACGUUCCCGGGCCUUGUACACACCGCCCGUCAAGCCAUGGAAGCCGGGGGUGCCUGAAGUCGGUAACCGCAAGGAGCUGCCUAGGGUAAAACUGGUAACUAGGGCUAAGUCGUAACAAGGUAGCCGUACCGGAAGGUGCGGCUGGAACACCUCCUU
rnacentral:rRNA from 1 species